rnacentral:rRNA from 3 species
CAACAGGGAUUGCCCUAGUAACGGCGAGUGAAGCGGCAACAGCUCAAAUUUGAAAUCUGGCUCUCGGGCCCGAGUUGUAAUUUGUAGAGGAUGACUUUGAUGCGGUGCCUUCCGAGUUCCCUGGAACGGGACGCCAUAGAGGGUGAGAGCCCCGUCUGGUUGGAUGCCAAAUCUCUGUAAGUCUCCUUCGACGAGUCGAGUAGUUUGGGAAUGCUGCUCUAAAUGGGAGGUAUAUGUCUUCUAAAGCUAAAUACCGGCCAGAGACCGAUAGCGCACAAGUAGAGUGAUCGAAAGAUGAAAAGCACUUUGAAAAGAGAGUUAAAAAGUACGUGAAAUUGUUGAAAGGGAAGCGUUUAUGACCAGACUUGGGCUUGGUUAAUCAUCUGGGGUUCUCCCCAGUGCACUUUUCCAGUCCAGGCCAGCAUCAGUUUUCGCCGGGGGAUAAAGGCUUCGGGAAUGUGGCUCCCCUCGGGGAGUGUUAUAGCCCGUUGUGUAAUACCCUGGCGGGGACUGAGGUUCGCGCUUCUGCAAGGAU